rnacentral:rRNA from 1 species
GGACCAAGGAGUCUAGCAUGUGCGCGAGUCAUUGGGACAUGACUAAACCUAAAGGCGCAAUGAAAGUGAAAGUCCGCCUUGCGCGGACUUAGGGAGGAUGGGCGGUCGUUACGGCUGCCGCCCCGCACUCCCGGGGCGUCUCGUUCUCAUUGCGAGAAGAGGCGCACCAAGAGCGUACACGCUGGGACCCGAAAGAUGGUGAACUAUGCCUGGUCAGGACGAAGUCAGGGGAAACCCUGAUGGAGGUCCGUAGCGAUUCUGACGUGCAAAUCGAUCGUCGGAACUGGGUAUAGGGGCGAAAGACUAAUCGAACCAUCUAGUAGCUGGUUCCCUCCGAAGUUUCCCUCAGGAUAGCUGGCGCUCGUUGCGUACGAGUUUCAUCCGGUAAAGCGAAUGAUUAGAGGCAUUGGGGUCGAAACGGCCUCAACCUAUUCUCAAACUUUAAAUGGGUGAGAUCUCCGGCUUGCUCGAACUCAUUUUUAAAAUGAAGCCGCGAGACUCGAAUCAGAGUGCCAAGUGGGCCAUUUUUGGUAAGCAGAACUGGCGCUGUGGGAUGAACCAAACGCCGAGUUAAAGCGCCUAAAUCGACGCUUAUGGGAUACCAUGAAAGGCGUUGGUAACUUAAGACAUCAGGACGGUGGCCAUGGAAGUCGGA